rnacentral:rRNA from 1 species
GGGUUGUGAGGUUAAGCGACUAAGCGUACACGGUGGAUGCCCUGGCAGUCAGAGGCGAUGAAGGACGUGCUAAUCUGCGAUAAGCGUCGGUAAGGUGAUAUGAACCGUUAUAACCGGCGAUUUCCGAAUGGGGAAACCCAGUGUGAUUCGUCACACUAUCAUUAACUGAAUCCAUAGGUUAAUGAGGCGAACCGGGGGAACUGAAACAUCUAAGUACCCCGAGGAAAAGAAAUCAACCGAGAUUCCCCCAGUAGCGGCGAGCGAACGGGGAGCAGCCCAGAGCCUGAAUCAGUGUGUGUGUUAGUGGAAGCGUCUGGAAAGGCGCGCGAUACAGGGUGACAGCCCCGUACACAAAAAUGCACAUACUGUGAGCUCGAUGAGUAGGGCGGGACACGUGGUAUCCUGUCUGAAUAUGGGGGGACCAUCCUCCAAGGCUAAAUACUCCUGACUGACCGAUAGUGAACCAGUACCGUGAGGGAAAGGCGAAAAGAACCCCGGCGAGGGGAGUGAAAAAGAACCUGAAACCGUGUACGUACAAGCAGUGGGAGCACGCUUAGGCGUGUGACUGCGUACCUUUUGUAUAAUGGGUCAGCGACUUAUAUUCUGUAGCAAGGUUAACCGAAUAGGGGAGCCGAAGGGAAACCGAGUCUUAACUGGGCGUUAAGUUGCAGGGUAUAGACCCGAAACCCGGUGAUCUAGCCAUGGGCAGGUUGAAGGUUGGGUAACACUAACUGGAGGACCGAACCGACUAAUGUUGAAAAAUUAGCGGAUGACUUGUGGCUGGGGGUGAAAGGCCAAUCAAACCGGGAGAUAGCUGGUUCUCCCCGAAAGCUAUUUAGGUAGCGCCUCGUGAAUUCAUCUCCGGGGGUAGAGCACUGUUUCGGCAAGGGGGUCAUCCCGACUUACCAACCCGAUGCAAACUGCGAAUACCGGAGAAUGUUAUCACGGGAGACACACGGCGGGUGCUAACGUCCGUCGUGAAGAGGGAAACAACCCAGACCGCCAGCUAAGGUCCCAAAGUCAUGGUUAAGUGGGAAACGAUGUGGGAAGGCCCAGACAGCCAGGAUGUUGGCUUAGAAGCAGCCAUCAUUUAAAGAAAGCGUAAUAGCUCACUGGUCGAGUCGGCCUGCGCGGAAGAUGUAACGGGGCUAAACCAUGCACCGAAGCUGCGGCAGCGACGCUGAUGCGUUGUUGGGUAGGGGAGCGUUCUGUAAGCCUGUGAAGGUGUGCUGUGAGGCAUGCUGGAGGUAUCAGAAGUGCGAAUGCUGACAUAAGUAACGAUAAAGCGGGUGAAAAGCCCGCUCGCCGGAAGACCAAGGGUUCCUGUCCAACGUUAAUCGGGGCAGGGUGAGUCGACCCCUAAGGCGAGGCCGAAAGGCGUAGUCGAUGGGAAACAGGUUAAUAUUCCUGUACUUGGUGUUACUGCGAAGGGGGGACGGAGAAGGCUAUGUUGGCCGGGCGACGGUUGUCCCGGUUUAAGCGUGUAGGCUGGUUUUCCAGGCAAAUCCGGAAAAUCAAGGCUGAGGCGUGAUGACGAGGCACUACGGUGCUGAAGCAACAAAUGCCCUGCUUCCAGGAAAAGCCUCUAAGCAUCAGGUAACAUCAAAUCGUACCCCAAACCGACACAGGUGGUCAGGUAGAGAAUACCAAGGCGCUUGAGAGAACUCGGGUGAAGGAACUAGGCAAAAUGGUGCCGUAACUUCGGGAGAAGGCACGCUGAUAUGUAGGUGAAGUCCCUUGCGGAUGGAGCUGAAAUCAGUCGAAGAUACCAGCUGGCUGCAACUGUUUAUUAAAAACACAGCACUGUGCAAACACGAAAGUGGACGUAUACGGUGUGACGCCUGCCCGGUGCCGGAAGGUUAAUUGAUGGGGUCAGCGCAAGCGAAGCUCUUGAUCGAAGCCCCGGUAAACGGCGGCCGUAACUAUAACGGUCCUAAGGUAGCGAAAUUCCUUGUCGGGUAAGUUCCGACCUGCACGAAUGGCGUAAUGAUGGCCAGGCUGUCUCCACCCGAGACUCAGUGAAAUUGAACUCGCUGUGAAGAUGCAGUGUACCCGCGGCAAGACGGAAAGACCCCGUGAACCUUUACUAUAGCUUGACACUGAACAUUGAGCCUUGAUGUGUAGGAUAGGUGGGAGGCUUUGAAGUGUGGACGCCAGUCUGCAUGGAGCCGACCUUGAAAUACCACCCUUUAAUGUUUGAUGUUCUAACGUUGACCCGUAAUCCGGGUUGCGGACAGUGUCUGGUGGGUAGUUUGACUGGGGCGGUCUCCUCCUAAAGAGUAACGGAGGAGCACGAAGGUUGGCUAAUCCUGGUCGGACAUCAGGAGGUUAGUGCAAUGGCAUAAGCCAGCUUGACUGCGAGCGUGACGGCGCGAGCAGGUGCGAAAGCAGGUCAUAGUGAUCCGGUGGUUCUGAAUGGAAGGGCCAUCGCUCAACGGAUAAAAGGUACUCCGGGGAUAACAGGCUGAUACCGCCCAAGAGUUCAUAUCGACGGCGGUGUUUGGCACCUCGAUGUCGGCUCAUCACAUCCUGGGGCUGAAGUAGGUCCCAAGGGUAUGGCUGUUCGCCAUUUAAAGUGGUACGCGAGCUGGGUUUAGAACGUCGUGAGACAGUUCGGUCCCUAUCUGCCGUGGGCGCUGGAGAACUGAGGGGGGCUGCUCCUAGUACGAGAGGACCGGAGUGGACGCAUCACUGGUGUUCGGGUUGUCAUGCCAAUGGCACUGCCCGGUAGCUAAAUGCGGAAGAGAUAAGUGCUGAAAGCAUCUAAGCACGAAACUUGCCCCGAGAUGAGUUCUCCCUGACUCCUUGAGAGUCCUGAAGGAACGUUGAAGACGACGACGUUGAUAGGCCGGGUGUGUAAGCGCAGCGAUGCGUUGAGCUAACCGGUACUAAUGAACCGUGAGGCUUAACCUUACAACGCCGAAG